AACGGUCUAUACCUGCGGUACCUGCGGAGGGAUCAUUACAAAUUAUGACGAACCUCGUGUUUCGCGAGGUUUUACGUCUAUUUUUAGUAUUUAAAACAUCCCACUCUUUUAAAAAAAAAAUUUAUCUAAUGAUAAAGUAAAAAAAGAUAACUUUUAGCAACGGAUCUCU
rnacentral:misc_RNA from 1 species